rnacentral:sRNA from 1 species
GGAUGUGAAGGUGAUCUGGCUGCAACGUCUGUCACCCCAUUGAUCAGCAGGGUUGAUUCGGCUGAUCUGACUGGCUUGGUGGGUGUCCCCUUUCUCCCUUACUGCUCCAUAUGUGUCCCUCCUGAAGCUGCAUGCUCAGUGGAAGAGGACAACUUUCCCCCCCCCCAAAAUAAAAAUAAUAACAAAAAUUCUUGUGGUACACUGGUUGAAAAUCGCUGAUCUAUUCUAUUCUAUUGAUCAAUGGGCCUCUUUUGGGGGUUUGGGGGGGCCU